AGUGAACGCUGGCGGUAGGCCUAACACAUGCAAGUCGAACGGCAGCACAGUAAGAGCUUGCUCUUACGGGUGGCGAGUGGCGGACGGGUGAGGAAUACAUCGGAAUCUACUUUUUCGUGGGGGAUAACGUAGGGAAACUUACGCUAAUACCGCAUACGACCUACGGGUGAAAGCAGGGAAUCUUCGGACCUUGCGCGAUUGAAUGAGCCGAUGUCGGAUUAGCUAGUUGGCGGGGUAAAGGCCCACCAAGGCGACGAUCCGUAGCUGGUCUGAGAGGAUGAUCAGCCACACUGGAACUGAGACACGGUCCAGACUCCUACGGGAGGCAGCAGUGGGGAAUAUUGGACAAUGGGCGCAAGCCUGAUCCAGCCAUACCGCGUGGGUGAAGAAGGCCUUCGGGUUGUAAAGCCCUUUUGUUGGGAAAGAUAAGCAGCAGGUUAAUACCCCGCUGUUCUGACGGUACCCAAAGAAUAAGCACCGGCUAACUUCGUG
rnacentral:rRNA from 1 species